GGUUCAGUGACUUGGCGGAAUAGUAGCCCUAUACGCUCUUGACGUACUGGUGGUGGGUUCGAUUCCCCCGUAAUAUUGGACCA